UACGUAGGGUGCAAGCGUUGUCCGGAAUUAUUGGGCGUAAAGAGCUCGUAGGCGGUUUGUCGCGUCUGCUGUGAAAACUCGGGGGCUUAACCCCGGGCCUGCAGUGGGUACGGGCAGACUAGAGUGCGGUAGGGGAGACUGGAAUUCCUGGUGUAGCGGUGAAAUGCGCAGAUAUCAGGAGGAACACCGGUGGCGAAGGCGGGUCUCUGGGCCGUAACUGACGCUGAGGAGCGAAAGCGUGGGGAGCGAACAGG
rnacentral:rRNA from 1 species